rnacentral:lncRNA from 1 species
GUUAGUAAAGUACUCUCUUUAUUUCACUCGUAUAUCUUGUGGAUUACUUGCUCUUCUUGUUGUUGGCACUGUUUGUGCCCUCGUUGAAUGUGUAUGUUUAGAAUUUAAAGUCCUGGGUAAAUUCUUGUACACAUUCCUGUUGUUGAGCCUUGGGCGGACAGGGGAGGUGCUGUCCGUUCGGCGGUCCGUCGCCGCGGCCGAAUCGUGCCAAAUCGGUAGUGGUUUCGGGGCGGGGCGUGACAUUUACUGCUAACUCUAGCUUUUAUCGUUCUUUAUGCCACACUUGUUCUCUUUAAUGCCACACACUAACUCUAGUGUUCAAUACUCUUGCAUUCAUAUCCUCUUUAAUGCCACACACACUAACUCUAGUGUCAUCUUUACAUUUACUAAUGCCACUCGAUCUACAUGUCAUAGUGUCACCUUUGUUCUUUUACCUCAACUAGGUUUUCAUGUUAUCACCAAUCAUGCAUACAUAGGGUUCUCAACCAUCUCAUAAUGCAAUUGUACUAACAACAUGAAACAUUCACAUAAACAUCAUCUCGUUUACCC